rnacentral:rRNA from 1 species
GGUUAAGUGACUAAGCGUACACGGCGGAUGCCUUGGCAGUCAGAGGCGAUGAAGGACGUGCUAACCUGCGUUAAGUACGGAUGAGCUGGUAAGAAGCGCUUGAGUCCGUAAUGUCCGAAUGGGGAAACCCACUGCACUCAGUGCAGUAUCGUAACGUCAAUACAUAGCGUUGCGAGGCGAACCGAGGGAACUGAAACAUCUCAGUACCUCGAGGAAAAGAAAUCAACCGAGAUCCCCCUAGUAGCGGCGAGCGAACGGGGGUCAGCCCUUAAGCAUGUUAGGUGAUAGUGGAAUGGUCCUGGAAAGACCAGCCGUAGUGGGUGAUAGCCCCGUACACUAAAUUGCCUUUUGUGUGAAAUCGAGUAGGACGGGACACGUGAUAUCCUGUUUGAAUAUGGGGGGACCAUCCUCCAAGGCUAAAUACUCCUGACUGACCGAUAGUGAACCAGUACCGUGAGGGAAAGGCGAAAAGAACCCCUGUGAGGGGAGUGAAAUAGAACCUGAAACCGUGUACGUACAAGCAGUAGAAGCCCGACCACUCAAUUACUUUGAUUACGUUUAUGUUCAAAGUAAUGAGUGGCGUUUAACACCACACAUCACAGAGUGAUUGAGUGGUCGGGUGACUGCGUACCUUUUGUAUAAUGGGUCAGCGACUUACUUUUAGUAGCAAGGUUAACCGUUUAGGGGAGCCGUAGGGAAACCGAGUCUUAACUGGGCGAUGAGUUGCUAGGAGUAGACCCGAAACCCGGUGAUCUAGCCAUGAGCAGGUUGAAGGUUGAGUAACAUCAACUGGAGGACCGAACCCACUAAUGUUGCAAAAUUAGGGGAUGACUUGUGGUUGGGGGUGAAAGGCCAAUCAAACCGGGAGAUAGCUGGUUCUCCCCGAAAUCUAUUUAGGUAGAGCCUCGGACGAAUACUUACGGGGGUAGAGCACUGUUUAGGCUAGGGGGUCAUCCCGACUUACCAACCCUAUGCAAACUCCGAAUACCGUAAAGUACUAUCCGGGAGACACACGGUGGGUGCUAACGUCCAUCGUGAAGAGGGAAACAACCCAGACCGCCGGCUAAGGUCCCAAAGUCAUAGUUAAGUGGGAAACGAAGUGGGAAGGCUCAGACAGUCAGGAUGUUGGCUUAGAAGCAGCCAUCAUUUAAAGAAAGCGUAAUAGCUCACUGAUCGAGUCGGCCUGCGCGGAAGAUGUAACGGGGCUAAACUAUGCACCGAAGCCGCGGAUGUGUUCUUUGAACACGUGGUAGGGGAGCGUUCUGUAAGUCUGCGAAGGUGUGUUGUGAAGCAUGCUGGAGAUAUCAGAAGUGCGAAUGCUGACAUGAGUAACGAUAAUGGGGGUGAAAAACCUCCACGCCAAAAGACCAAGGGUUCCUGUCCAACGUUAAUCGGGGCAGGGUGAGUCGACCCCUAAGGCGAGGCCGAAAGGCGUAGUCGAUGGGAAACGGGUUAAUAUUCCCGUACUGGCGUGUACUGCGAUGGGGGGACGGAGAAGGCUAAAUGGGCCAGGCGUUGGUAGUCCUGGUGAAAGGCCGUAGGCAGUGUGUUUAGGUAAAUCCGGACGCACAAUGCUGAGAGCUGAGACGAAAUCGCUACGGCGGUGAAGUCAUUGAUGCCCUGCUUCCAGGAAAAGCCUCUAAGCUUCAGGUACACGACAAUCGUACCCCAAACCGACACAGGUGGUCGGGUAGAGAAUACUAAGGCGCUUGAGAGAACUCGGGUGAAGGAACUAGGCAAAAUAGUACCGUAACUUCGGGAGAAGGUACGCUGAGGCAUGUGAAAUCCCUUGCGGAUGGAGCGUGACUCAGCCGCAGUGACCAGGUGGCUGGAACUGUUUAUCAAAAACACAGGACUAUGCAAACUCGCAAGAGGACGUAUAUGGUCUGACACCUGCCCGGUGCUGGAAGGUUAAAUGAUGGGGUUAGCCUUCGGGUGAAGCUCUUGAUUGAAGCCCCAGUAAACGGCGGCCGUAACUAUAACGGUCCUAAGGUAGCGAAAUUCCUUGUCGGGUAAGUUCCGACCUGCACGAAUGGUGUAAUCAUGGCCACGCUGUCUCCACCCGAGACUCAGUGAAAUUGAAUUUGCGGUGAAGAUGCCGUAUACCCGCGGCUAGACGGAAAGACCCCGUGAACCUUUACUAUAGCUUGGCACUGAACAUUGGCCCUACAUGUGUAGGAUAGGUGGGAGGCUGUGAAACGACGACGCCAGUUGUUGUGGAGCCAUCCUUGAAAUACCACCCUUGUAUGUCUGAUGUUCUAACGUUGGUCCCUUAUCGGGAUUGCGGACAGUGCCUGGUGGGUAGUUUGACUGGGGCGGUCUCCUCCUAAAGAGUAACGGAGGAGCACGAAGGUUGGCUAAGUACGGUCGGACAUCGUACGGUUAGUGCAAUGGCAUAAGCCAGCUUAACUGCGAGACGGACAAGUCGAGCAGAUACGAAAGUAGGUCAUAGUGAUCCGGUGGUUCUGUAUGGAAGGGCCAUCGCUCAACGGAUAAAAGGUACUCCGGGGAUAACAGGCUGAUACCGCCCAAGAGUUCAUAUCGACGGCGGUGUUUGGCACCUCGAUGUCGGCUCAUCACAUCCUGGGGCUGAAGUCGGUCCCAAGGGUAUGGCUGUUCGCCAUUUAAAGUGGUACGCGAGCUGGGUUCAGAACGUCGUGAGACAGUUCGGUCCCUAUCUGCCGUGGGCGUUGGAUGAUUGAGAGGAGCUGCUCCUAGUACGAGAGGACCGGAGUGGACGAA